UCUAGUAAAAAUGAGAAGAAAAAAAAAUCUCCCUCACGAACUCAAACAUGCAACUUUUGACAUCUCUUUUCCAUUUGCUGCAUCAUUUCUAGACAUGACUCAGAGGACAGUCAUUGAGGAGUGUUGCUAGUGUGGCAUAUUCCAUUGAAGAUAUUGUAUUUCUGUGUCUCUCCUGCACUGCCGCAAUUAUGCAAUCUGGACAUUACCCAGUCCUAUGCUCUGAGUCCAGACACACUUUGAUUUCCAGCAGUUCAUUGUCUCUGAAGAGGAGCUUUCCCCUGAGCAGCAGCAUUAUAAGCAGGAGUGGAGCCCCAGUCUGGGGAAAGAUGACUGGAACCCCAUACAGAUUAAAGAGGAACAGGGGGAAUUCAGUAUCAUCCAGGAGGAGGAAGACUUUGUAUUCACUCCUGCCUGGGUGAAAAGUGACUGAUCAGUACUCAACUCAGUCCUCACAAACCCAAAGUGAAGAAUACAAAGACAGAAUGGCCUCAACUGAACAGAUCAAAACAGAACCUAAGGAAGAGGACUCCUCAUAGCCAACCAAUGACUCUCGGCCCCUGCGCAAAUCAAAGAGGACGCUUUUGCAGACAGAAAAAGGACAAGGCUUCAUUAUCUGCUCUAACUGUAGAAAAUCCAUGGCUCUGAAAUCACCAGUGCAAAGGAGUCACAUAUAAGAGAAACCAUAUCACUGUCAGUAUUGUAGCAGGCGUUUUCCAAAGACAAUAAAUAAUAUUUUGCACAUGAGGAGAAAUAAUUUAGCUGGAGUGAUUGUGGCGAAUGUUUCACUUAGAUUGGAAUACUGAAUUCUCAUAGGAUCAUGAUACACUCAUGAGAGAAUCGACAUCGCUGUGGUGAAUGUGGCAAAUGUUUUUUCUCUCCCCAAGCUGGAUAUCUUAACUAUCACAUGUUUCUUUCGAGUUUGUUAUCUGAAUAGUCAUAGGAGGAUUCACACAGGGGAGAAAUCAUAUCGCUGACAGGUCUGUGGCAAAUGUUUUGCUCAGGUUAGUUCUCUGAAGUAUCACAAUAUGAUUCACACAGGGGGGGGGGGGGUAUCUUAUGUAGCACUGGAGGUAAUCACGUGAUAAAUAGAAAUAUAGUUUCUUUCACUCCUUCCAAUCUGAAUCGUCUGAGGAGACUGAAGGGAGGAACCACAUUAAAUACCAUGACUGGCAAAUCGUUCACAGCUGCCUUUUAUUUGACACUGCGUAUGAGACAUUCACACAUUACACGUUGUCUGUAGAAAAUGCUUUAGUGCCAGAAGUGCAUUGAAUAGUCACCGGAGAACACACAGAGGAGGAAUCGUACAAGUCAAAUGAAUGCUUCAAAACAAAGCCCGAAAGCCCAACGGCUCAACCGAGGAAACACUUGAUUGACCUUUACCUUGGUAGCCCUGGGGCUCGCUCUCCAUUAAAGGUCAUAAUCAGGGCAUAUUCUACAUAACCUGUCAUUUUCCAUUCUGUGAAACAAUUUUUCCACUGAGAUCAGAACAUUGUGUAGCCCAACCAGAAAGAUGAAACUAUGCCCUGUGUGGGAGAAAGGCAUCAGACAGAAGAUUAAGAGGCACAUUUUGUAACUUCCACCUGUGAGUGGAGACCCGGAUCUUGGGUGAAUAAUAUGCUGUAUGCCUUUGGCUAUUUGUAAUACUUCAAAUACAGUUACUAUUGUUCAUAGUUUUUUAAACUUGA